AAUUUAUUUUUUUAUUUUUUUAUUUUUUAUUUUUUAUUUUUUAUUUUUUUUAUUUAAUUUUAAACCAAGGGUAUUAUAGAUAUUUUACCCUUUAAUGAAUGUCAUUUUUGUGACUUUCUCCUUCUAGUGCUAUUUUUGAGACAUAAACUUCAAAAGGUGCUAUUAUUGACAAUUGCCCUAGUUUUUAUGUUCCAAUAUGUAGGAUGUUUUCAUAUUUCUAGGUACCUUUAACUUUAUCAAAAACUGUGUAACUAAUCAAAUUUAAUAGUUAUAUUUUGUAAUUGGUUGAAUAGUUUUUAAUUUAAAGAUUUAAUGAUAAAAAGUAAUUUUUUUAAUAAUUGUGUUUUACCUAAAAAAUCUUAUAUUUAGGAAUAGAGAGAGUAUGAAAAAAUAUAAAUUUCGAGAAAAUUAAUUGACUUUAUUGAAUUAUUAUUGGUUAAAAAUUAUUAAAAAUUGAAAAUUACAGAAAAUAAUACAUUUAUUAUGGUAGUUUAAUGUGUUUUCUAAAUAUGUGUGAAAAUACUAAAAAAUAUAUCUUUCUGAAACAUAUGGAGUAUUAAUUACAAAAUGCACUAAGUUUAUUAAUAUUUUAAUUUGUUUCAAACAUUAUUGGUUAAAUAUUUGUAGUUAUUUUGAACAUAAAGAUAUUUCAAUUAUUUUUUAAAAUAUUUAUAAAACAUCAAAAUAACACUUAUCAUUAAACUGAUGGAGUGUGUGGUUUCGUUAUAAGAUAUUACAACCACAGUUGUAACAUUCAUUUGGACCCAACCUACAUUAUCCUAAUUUUAUCAUAGAAAUUUAUAUACUUUGUUGUAGCAACCGAUCAAUUAAUAACUAUUGCAUGUUGUCAAAAAGAGAACAAUUAGUAUUGCAUAUACACACUUAUUAGCGUGUGAGAAUAAUAAAAGAUGUCACAAGAUAGAUCAUAUGAUGAUACCAACCGAAUCAUCUAUGUUGAUUAAUUUAAAUGGUUGGUGGUGAAUUUGAUGUUAUUGACAGAGACUCUAAUGUUUUUAUUUUCUCCUACGUAUAUGAUAAUGGUCUUGGAUCUUGUGCGAGUGCUUUCUUUCUGUCUACACUUAGGGUAAUUGAAUAUAUAAUCAAACAUUUGUCAUUAACAGCAUUUGCUUGGUUCACCACCCUAUGUCUACAGUUUUGACUCAUUCAAUUCUUUAAAUUUUCAAUGUCUAAGUUAACUAUUAAUAUAUUGGGACCUUAACCAAUUAAUGAAUCAUUAAUCAUGGUUUUAAUGUGUGUGAAACAUGUAACUAGUUUUGAACAAACUUCUCACAUUUGUUUAUUGUGAAAUAACAAAAAUCAGAUCUGCCUAACUAACUUUUCCAGUAUGUACUCUUUUGAUAAUAUCUAUAUAUAUAAAGGGGAGUUUUCUCUCACCUCAGUCCUCCACAUCAUUAUUCAGCAUGGGGCUUUUUCUGCCACGUGGCAGUACUUUAUAAACUUGCGAAAGCUGCUUCACGUUGUUUAAUAAUUUGGGCUACGUGUUUUUUAUGAUCAAAUCAGUGGACUUUUGAUUAUUGUCCAAAACGGCCCAAAUUAUUUAGGGUUGUUCAAUUUUAGCGGACGGAGUUGGAGAGUCAGCCGUCGUGGUUCUUCACAUCUCACCGACGACGAACGGCGAUCGUCUUUGUAACGGCACUUGGAAACAUUAAUCCAAGCAUUAACUUUUCUGCGCCACUCCUCCCACUCUCUUGAAUUAAAUUGGCCAUAGCAUUCUCUAAAGUAAUCCCCUGAAGCUUCAACUAUAAAUGGCUUUGUUGCUUGGGAUAAACAGUGGCGAGUUCAUCUGUUUUUCUUGCCGAUUUAAAAGCUGGAUGCUAUUCAAACACCGCCGAGGUCCCUCUCCUCAGAUUAAAAGAGGCAAGAAAUGUUAAGAAAGGUGGUCUCCAUAAAGAGAAUGUGACUCCGGCUAGCCACCACCGUGUUUUGUUAGCUCUUUCUACUCAACCUUUUGAUAGUCCGCUCUUAUUAUAUGUUUCUAAAACAGUCAAACUGUCAACGAGAAGGUACCUAUUCUUAUUCCUAAUUUUUUGUUUUUGGAUUUAACGUUAAACUAAGUCGUCACUAACCAUAAUUUAUUUACUCUGUUUUUUUUUUCAGUUGAUUUUGUUUUUUUUGAAUAUUUUUUUCAGUUGAUUUUGAUUCAUGUUCAAUAGCUUAAUACUUUCAAAAAUCUAUUGAGGGAAGGAGUGAUGUAUGGGCUUCGUGGUGUUGAUGCCGCUGGAAGCACGUUUCACUGACCACACGAGCUUUGUUGAGGUCACGGAACAAGUGACCAUCCCAGCAGAGAAGUUUCGUUUUCAAAAGUAUGAUCAACUCAUGGCUUUGGCUAACACCAACGUAGAUUUGUCCGGUUUGUAUAACAAUUUUGAACUCAUACUUUAACCGUAUAGUAGUAUCAGCACUGUUUUCAAUAAUGAAAAUCAUUCCAUUCAUCAUGUGAUGAUAACAAUCUAAUUAGACAGGAAAGACAUCUCUUUCUCUCUGCAAAGCAAAACUGGGUUAGAUCCAGCGACUAUAGCUUCCUUGUGCUUACUGAUAAGUUCAAAGUUCACUCAUUUAUGAGACUAAACCUGUGAUUCAAUUUCAUAUAAUGGAAAUAUUCCAGAACAAACUUAGGAUGAAUUGGAUGACUUCAAUGCUUGGUUAGAUAUCUCUCCACUCUAAAUCAAAUGUAUGUGAAAGUAUAUUUUUUUCUUUUCUUAUCUUAUUGAUGUAAGAGAUGGUAAAGAGUGUCCUUUUUCUCUGUUGUGCAGAAGAAAAUCUGCAACUCUGGAGAUGUAAAUGAAUGUAAAUCGAUGGAAGCUAAAAUCAGAAAACAAAAACUUGAUUUUGUGAAGCCUGCUCUAGGGCUUAGCUUAUUAUACGUUUUGUGUUCUGUAAAUAUUAUAUAAUUUUGGGGAUCUCGGAUGUUUUGUGGUUGUAAUUCAUGCCAUCAUUGAGAAGAGAAAAGUACACUCAUAUGGUUAUCAUAUGGUUAUUGAUUUUGUGCUGACUAAUAGAUUCCCGGUUAAAGGUGUAAUCAGAUUUAUCAGGAUGCCAUGAUGUGUAUCGUUCCAUAGGUACCUGCACGGCCUGAACUGCAGUUUUUUGGAGUUAAUGGUUCGUGACCCUCCAGUUUAUUAGGUUUCAGAUUGUCCCCCGGUGACCAGGAGAUAUUUGAUAUAAGAAGCUAUAUCAGGCAAUUUCAUUGAGUUUUUUUUUCUUGAAUUAUAUAGUUGGAUGUGUAACUGAUGAUUUUUGCAACUGUUUGUAUAAUUCAAGACUAGAUCAUGAUGUAGCAUUUUGAAAUAAUGCCAAUUGUAAAUAGUUGUUAAUCAAUGUUUGAGAUUUUUUCCAUACAUAUGCUGCCAUGAAGCUUUCUUAAUAUAAGAGAGAGGCGGAGGGACUGAAAAAAAAAACAGAGUAGAAAAGUUAUGACCUUAGACAUUUCAUUAGAUCUACGUAUUGCAAAACAACUCUUUGAUUUUCCAUACACAAUUUUUUGUGGAUUUAUACUAUUUGGAGAUGAUCAAUGAUUUUGCCAGAAUCUCGAGAAGCUUCUUGAAUGUUUUCUCAUAUUGCUACUUGAAUAUGGCAAUCACUUGAAAAGGUUAUAUAUAUGUGGAGCAUCAAUAUAAUGAUUAAAAUUAUAAUCAUCGCAUGUACUAAUGUCUAACACACGCAUUGUUUUUCUUUAGUUUUCUACAACACUUAUGAAAUAAGUUUAUGAUCCUUCUCAUUUGACGAUUUAAAAGCCAACUACGACAGGAGAGAUCUUAAGUUGCAACUAAUUAUGAAGUUCAACUCAUUCAUACUGUUUCAAUCAAUUUUGGUCUACAAUAACAAUGAUUCUCUAAAAAUUAAACAACGGCCAAAGCGUGAAACGGAUAACAAAACUUAAACCUUUUUUUUUUCAUUGACAAAACUUAAACCUAAAAACAUCACAAGAUGGUCUAACCCACCCAGGUAGGGUGAAUGGGUGAUAAUUUACAAACGUCCACAUGAAAAUUACGUAUAAAAAAAAACAACUUAAAUCUAACGCGUCUUUAUCCCAAAAUUUAAAACGUAACUUGCACAGAAUUUUUAGCAAAAAAUACCAAAUAAUUUCCAAAAAAAACGAGAAUAUAAUUGUGGAAAAUUAAAAAAAAAACUACUACUUGAUUAAAUAAAAUAAUAAUAAACAGAGUGGUUUAAUCGUUUGAUCUAAGAUAACAACACAUAAAAUGCACUAACACUAUUAAGUUCUGACCCGUUUCACUUAUCUAAUGGUUUAAGUUAAUAGCCAAAACACUUAAAAACACAUACACGUUACAAGUAAUUACGGAAAAUUAACUCAGUCAAUAAUCACUGACAAGAACACUACCAUGCAUAAGUUGAAACAUUUAAUACAAUUGCAAAUUCCACAAAAAUAUAAAUUAGACCCUCCUGCUAGAAUAAAAAAACUCAUUAUCAAUACAAAAUUCCAAGAUGAACGGAGCUCACCCACUAUCAACACUCGAAGAACUCCCUCAAGACAUCCAAGGCGAUAUCAUCUCAAGAGUUGCACAGUCAUUAAGAACUACCGCACGUCAUGUCAUGCAAUCAUGCCCACUACUGGCCAAAGAAGCUAAAGACAACCGUAUUUACAAGAAUAUAUGACCAUCAAACUAUUAUCCAUCCAUCCAGUUGCUUCUUUGACAAGGUAUAACGAUCUCAUGUCAAAAUUUUUUUUUUCAGCUGAAAACAUAGAAGUUCAUUAUGAUAAAGGCAUUGAAGAAUAUUUUUUUAAAAACAAUCCCAAGCCGGCCUCCAUCAUCUACAAACAUCAGCAGACGUUUUGUACAUAGAUAUGCAAUUUACCUAUACGGUCUAACAAUGCUUUGCACGGGUGAGAAAAAUGUUGAUGAAACCUAUAUUAAUAAAAUUGGUUGGAAGCAAGACCAUAAAUUUGACGAUCAGUGUUCGAAUCGCUUUAAGAAAUUAUUACAAUGACAUUAAGAAAUUAGUACAUGGAGUUCGUGUUAAAAAACUCAAGUCUAUUAGACAAAAAAAAAACUCAAGUGUUACUCAACCACUUUAAAAGCAACGAAAGCCACAAUACUAUGCCAUCCGGACAACAUCAACAAGAGGUACGAGAAAUGCUAUUUUUCAACCAAAUGACUAAAUUUGUAUACUUUAUUUUAUUCAUGGUCAUUUUUUAACUUAACAUUAAGCAUCAGAUCGUCGCAAUUUUUGUAUUUCAACAAGAACAAAUAUUUGUGAAUUUAUGAUGGUCACAAAUAUUUAAUUUCACUCUGUUAUGUUCAAUAAUUGACUAUUCCUUCUUAUUCUCAACGAUAUUAUAUUACGUAAAGUGAAUGUCCAUACCAAAAUAGUAAUAAACUCAAGAGAAAAAACAAAGCAUAUUCCAUCAACAAAAAUAUUUACACGUCCAUAAAACACACAAAACUCUUAAAAUACAGUUACUAACGCAAAUUAAGAAAAUAAAUUCCUCACAUAUAUUUCAAAUAAAACAUUAAAUCAGAAAACCAAACAUAACAAAUAUUUAGCACAAAUGUCAAACAACCACAAAUGAAUAUUUAGCACAAAU